UACGUAGGGGGCUAGCGUUGUGCGGAAUCAUUGGGCGUAAAGCGCGUGUAGGCGGUCCGGUAAGUCCGCUGUGAAAGUCGGGGGCUCAACCCUCGAAUGCCGGUGGAUACUGUCGGGCUAGAGUGCGGAAGAGGCGAGUGGAAUUCCUGGUGGAGCGGUGAAAUGCGCAGAUAUCAGGAGGAACACCGAUGGCGAAGGCAGCUCGCUGGGGCGGUACUGACGCUGAGGCGCGAAAGCGUGGGGAGCAAACAGG
rnacentral:rRNA from 1 species